UAGGGAAUCUUCGGCAAUGGGGGCAACCCUGACCGAGCAACGCCGCGUGAGUGAAGAAGGUUUUCGGAUCGUAAAGCUUUGUUGUAAGAGAAGAACGUGUGUGAGAGUGGAAAGUUCACACAGUGACGGUAACUUACCAGAAAGGGACGGCUAACUACGUGCCAGCAGCCGCGGUAAUACGUAGGUCCCGAGCGUUGUCCGGAUUUAUUGGGCGUAAAGCGAGCGCAGGCGGUUUAAUAAGUCUGAAGUUAAAGGCAGUGGCUUAACCAUUGUUCGCUUUGGAAACUGUUAAACUUGAGUGCAGAAGGGGAGAGUGGAAUUCCAUGUGUAGCGGUGAAAUGCGUAGAUAUAUGGAGGAACACCGGUGGCGAAAGCGGCUCUCUGGUCUGUAACUGACGCUGAGGCUCGAAAGCGUGGGGAGCAAACAGG
rnacentral:rRNA from 1 species